GCCUUCCAAGUUCCCUAGAACGGGACGCCAGAGAGGGUGAGAGCCCCGUACAGUUGGACACCAAGCCUUUGUAAAGCUCCUUCGACGAGUCGAGUAGUUUGGGAAUGCUGCUCAAAAUGGGAGGUAUAUUUCUUCUAAAGCUAAAUACCGGCCAGAGACCGAUAGCGCACAAGUAGAGUGAUCGAAAGAUGAAAAGCACUUUGAAAAGAGGGUUAAACAGCACGUGAAAUUGUUAAAAGGGAAGCGCUUGUGACCAGACUUGCGUCCGGUGAAUCACCCAGCUCUCGCGGCUGGGGCACUUCGCCGGCUCAGGCCAGCAUCAGCUCGCUGUCGGGGACAAAAGCUUCAGGAACGUAGCUCUCUUCGGGGAGUGUUAUAGCCUGUUGCAUAAUACCCUUCGGCGGGCUGAGGUACGCGCUCCGCAAGGAUGCUGGCAUAAUGGUCAUCAGCGACCCGUCUUGAAACACGGACCC
rnacentral:rRNA from 1 species